GACGAACGCUGGCGGCGUGCUUAACACAUGCGAGUCGAACGGAAAGGCCCUGCUUGCAGGGUACUCGAGUGGCGAACGGGUGAGUAACACGUGGGUGAUCUGCCCUGCACUUCGGGAUAAGCCUGGGAAACUGGGUCUAAUACCGGAUAGGAGCCAUUUUUAGUGUGAUGGUUGGAAAGUUUUUUCGGUGUAGGAUGAGCUCGCGGCCUAUCAGCUUGUUGGUGGGGUAAUGGCCUACCAAGGCGGCGACGGGUAGCCGGCCUGAGAGGGUGGACGGCCACAUUGGGACUGAGAUACGGCCCAGACUCCUACGGGAGGCAGCAGUGGGGAAUAUUGCACAAUGGGCGCAAGCCUGAUGCAGCGACGCCGCGGGGGGGAUGACGGCCUUCGGGUUGUAAGCUCCUUUCGCUAGGGACGAAGCUUUUUGUGACGGUACCUAGAUAAGAAGCACCGGCUAACUACGUG
rnacentral:rRNA from 1 species